rnacentral:lncRNA from 1 species
CAUUGUAUCUGUGGACCUUUUCUACUUUAUUGAAAAGUGUGAAAAAAGGAAAGACAGGAAAAUCCAGGUGCGCUGGAUAAUCUGGCAGACGGCAAAAAGACCAAACCUUGCUGGGACCUUCUCAGAAGAGUCAAAAGACAAACCCAAAAUCCACACGCCCCCGCCCAACAACAAGGGGCGCCGGAGGAGAAGAACAACCGAGGAAAAUCGUAGAGAGAAGACUGCAUAUCAAAUGUGAUGGCAAAGCAGAUGGAGUCGAGCGGUUCUGAAAGAGGAGAAUGUGAAAUGGAAAAAUGGAAAUUUCAGAUUUUGGAAACUCGCCCAGUGUGUUCACUUGCCACCUAAAACAGACAGUUUCUUUGCUUUUAAAAAAAAAUAAAUUGACACAUCAAACCAGACCA